rnacentral:rRNA from 1 species
GCCUAAAGCGUCCGUAGCCGGCUAUGUUAGUUUUCGGUUAAAUCCAUGUGCUCAACGCAUGGGCUGUCGAGAAUACUGCAUAGCUAGGGAGUGGGAGAGGUAGACGGUACUCGGUAGGAAGGGGUAAAAUCCUUUGAUCUAUCGAUGACCACCAGUGGCGAAGGCGGUCUACCAGAACACGUCCGACGGUGAGGGAUGAAAGCUGGGGGAGCAAACCGGAUUAGAUACCCGGGUAGUCCCAGCUGUAAACUAUGCAAACUCAGUGAUGCAUUGGCUUGUGGCCAGUGCAGUGCCGCAGAGAAGUCGUUAAGUUUGCCGCCUGGGAAGUACGUACGCAAGUAUGAAACUUAAAGGAAUUGGCGGGGGAGCACCACAAGGGGUGAAGCCUGCGGUUCAAUUGGAGUCAACGCCAGAAAUCUUACCCGGAGAGACAGCAGAAUGAAGGUCAAGCUGAAGACUUUACCAGACAAGCUGAGAAGUGGUGCAUGGCCGUCGCCAGCUCGUGCCGUGAGGUGUCCUGUUAAGUCAGGUAACGAGCGAGAUCCCUACCUCUAGUUGCCACCAUUACUCUCAGGAGUAGUGGGGCGAAUUAGCGGGACUGCCGCAGUUAAUGCGGAGGAAGGAGGGGGCCACGGCAGGUCAGUAUGCCCCGAA